rnacentral:rRNA from 1 species
GAUGAACGCUAGCUACAGGCUUAACACAUGCAAGUCGAGGGACCGGCGCACGGGUGAGUAACACGUAUCCAACCUGCCCUUUACUCAGGGAUAGCCUUUCGAAAGACAGAUUAAUACCCGCUAUAAAGGAUGGGGAUGGGUUCCAUUAGGUUGUUGGUAAGGUAACGGCCCACCAAGCCUUCGACGGCUCGGGGUUCUGAGAGGAAGGUCCCCCACAUUGGAACUGAGACACGGGCCAAACUCCUACGGGAGGUAGCAGUGAGGAAUAGUGGUCAAUGGGCGUUAGCCUGAACCAGCCAAGUAGCGUGAAGGAUGAAGGCUUAUGGGUCGUAAACUUCUUUUAUAUAAGAAUAUGUAUUAUAUGAAUAAGGAUCGGCUAACUCCGUGCCAGCAGCCGCGGUAAUUC